AAAAUAAGCAAGCAGUUAAAAGCUUUAAAUGUUCAGCUCCGGCUUUCCCCCACACAAUGGCAAAGUGGUCAGUGGAGUUGGAAAGAAGCAAACCUAAGCCUUUUAGCAGUGCUCUCACUCACCUACCAACCUCUUCUCCAUUUUUACUGCAGCCUCUUCGGCAGCACAGAGCUCUUCACUCGACUGUUAAUACACUGAAGGUCACCAUUUCCUAACUUGCCCUGUUGGCUUCUUCAUGGGAUUUACAAGCUUGCUCCUUCUCCUGGUGAUCUGAUUUCCAUGUGUAUGAGAUGAGGUGAGAGUUUGGCCACUUCAAAGCCUCGGAAAUGGACCCCCAGCACCGGGAUGCUGAAAGAAGGCAGAGGAAUCAGCAUGAGAAUGUUAUCCUGACACCUUGGCAAGCAUGGGAGCCCUCGAAAAAAUGUUUAUUCAGAGCUGAGGGAUGGCCUAGCUGGGGAGCAUUUUAUUUUUCACUCCUAGGAGUGUGAAAGGAGGACACACAAAGAAAUUUAUGACUUUCAAUUCCCCUUCUGAGACCCAAAAGAUGCUACAAAGUUGUGGAAAAACAAAAGGGCUUUGCUGCUCAUGGUGAGCUUAAAUCUGCAGCUUCUUCUGACUGUAUUCAGGCUGCGUUUUUAGCCAUAUAAUCACUUACAAUUGGAUGGAGGAUUCUCUGUGUGUUUACCAAAGAAGUCUACCGAGAGGCAUCUGUUUCGUUUAGUCUAGAAUGAAAAAAAAUUAAAAGUCAAAAUUGAGUACUCACCCUGGGGCAAUGCUAAAAUUAAGCUACAUACUGAAGUUCAGGCUGCUAUUCCAUUAAAUACAUUUUUUAAUGCCUUCUUGUUAAACCUGCUAACCUCUCCUGCACCAGGCAUGCCCAGAUCUCACAAGCCUCCUUGACAAUACUAUGAAGCAACUGAUGCUAACCAAGAAUAAAAUGCAGCAAAGUUCAAUCCCGAGACUAAAAUGAGCUUGUAUUUUGCGCUGUCAUAAUAAGUAAACUCUAAUUAAAUGUACUAAGCAAAGCUCUGGCUCGCAGAAGCUCUGCACAGACUGCAAAAGCUCGGAAGGGCAGGAGAUGCUUUAUUUGACAGCUUCUGCUAAAGAAAAUAAAAAUAAAUACUUACAUGGAACAUUCACAUAACCCCUUGCUCAUUUCAGAGUCUGUGGUUUGCAGAUCACUGCAGAAGAACUACAAUUGCAGGACUUGGCUAAGUGAAUUCCCACAUAUCUGUCUCAAAGUCUUGUUGUUCUUUGAAGAUGAAGGAGGUUUCAAGGAUUAAGAUCACACUUAAAAUCUUUAUGAGGCAGUGUGAUAAGGUAUUUUGUGUCUGUGCGGAGAUGGAAAACCAAAGAUUUAUAAUUUCUUCUAUUUUUUCUUAUGGUACUAACAAAACAAGGCUAGUAGAGCAAAGCUUUGGGCUGCAGAGCAGAGACAUCUGCUAUGUGAGAGAUGGCACUUCUCAGGCUGUGGGCACCUCAGCUGUGCUCCACACUGCACCAUUUGGCCUUCUUGUAGAGAUGUGGCCAGGCUGUGUUCCCUGCGUUCCUUGCUCUCAGGAGCAAACAGCCACCAGCCUAUGGCGAAGAGCUGGGCAGGCAUGGGCAGAGGUGGCCACAGCCUGACGCUACCAGGAGGCUGCACAGCUUUGCAGGACGUGGGGCAUGCACUGUGCCAUCUGGCUCACAGCUGGGGUUGGGUAAAAAUCUCUGUCUUCACUCUCUGGUAUCUUCCUGACUGCUGGCAAUAUUCUCUAUUUCAGCGAGGUCCUCUAGCAGCAAACAUGGAGGUAUUACAGAGCUUGGGACAGGAUUACACUGAGGGCAAAGCUCUGGGUUACAGCCUCCCAGGAGUUGUGUCCAAUGCUACAGCACUGUGGCCUUUGACAGGAGGGCAAUGAAGUGACAGGGACUCUCAAACUCCGCUUUCUCUGUUGGUGAUCACUUGACAAGAAAAUACCCUGAGAAACCUGAUUAAUUGAACGAGUUUGAGCAGACUGUGGGACUAAAUGAGCUCCAGAGGUCCUUACCAGUGUGAAUUAUUCCACGCUCCAAUGAUUUCAUCUCCUUUUUAUUCUUCACAUUUCCUUAGUUUAAUAAAAAGUCACCUCAGGUUGAAUGUGACUAUGUGCUCUUUGUAUAGAGGCAACCAGGCAAGUAUCCCCAGGAGCUAGAAGCCAACACCCCGGGUCCAAACCCCCAGAGGAGCAGGUUUACUGAGUUAAAAGCAUCUCUUCCACUGGGGACACUCAGUUCGUACUUGUAUAUGUCCUGUUACAUUCCUCUGGCACUGAUCAAUUGUUUCUUUCCAUAUCUGCCUCCUUGAAGCUCCUUACUGAACAGGUUUCUGAUUGCUAACAUUUAACUGUCCAAUGCAGGCAUUGUUUUACGUUUCCAUGAAAGCUUAGGGAUGUAUGGUGACUUCCAAAGGGAUCCAAAGCUACCCGCCCAGAGCUGUCAGUGUCAACUGAUGUUAAUAAAACACUGUGUAAUAUUUCAAGCACAGCUUCAUGCUCAUUUACUGCUAUUUAGAAAACCCAACAGCGUGAGGUGAGAGUUAAAUAAAAGCACAUGUUCCAAAGUCACAGAAAUGACUAUCAGAGAUUGACUUCUGGUUGCUCAUUCAGCUGGCUGCUGUCAACGUGAAGAACGAAGCAAUUCCAUUUUUUAAUGCCAUGUAAAUUAUACCGCUGUGUUGUGAUACAUCAAUUAAGUUCUUUGAAUAAAUUAAUCAGAAAAUUCUGUAAGGAUGCUUCUCUGCUUUCUGAAGGGAAAAAACAAUAAACCCAAACACAGACCCGGGCUUGUGUUUAUCUCGUGAUUUGUUUUCCUCUGGAG
ensembl:lncRNA